rnacentral:misc_RNA from 1 species
GAUGAAGAACGUAGCGAAAUGCGAUAAGUAGUGUGAAUUACAGAAUUCAGUGAAUCAUCGAAUCUUUGAACGCACAUUGCGCCCCAUGGUAUUCCGUGGGGCAUGCCUGUUCGAGCGUCAUUUACCCCCUCAAGCUCCGCUUGGUGUUGGGCGUCUGUCCCGCUUCGCGCGCGGACUCGCCCCAAAGGUAUUGGCAGCGGUCGUGCCAGCUUCUCGCGCAGCACAUUGCGCUUCUCGAGGCACCGGUGGGCCCGCGUCCAUCAAGCUCACCCCCCCAGUUUGACCUCGGAUCAGGUAGGGAUACCCGCUGAACUUAAGCAUAUCAAUAAGCGGAGGA